AGAACGACUGCCAGGGCGCCCGAUUGGAAACUGAAGACGGACGUGGGAGAUGAUCGGAGAAGAGAUGGCUUCAUCACUAUUCACCCCACUCUCAAUCUACGGUUCAUAUAAAAGGAGAAAAGGGAAAGAGGAGCAGAGCAAAUUCAAACCCAGAAAGAGGAAAAAAUUGGUAUCAAAAUCAGUGAUUGCAGAUAAGGUAUUGUGUGCAGAGUGGAUUCUCAAUCAAACCCAAAAGGCAGAGUAAAAUAGGUGUAACUCGGGGGACAGAGUGGCAGAUUCAGUGGAGGUUAUGCUUGAUUAUUGUUUCCAGAUUUCAAAUUUCAUUUAUUUGGGUUUUCGAUUUCGACUGAGUUUCCAUGUGUUAAUCAUUGUCGUUGGGCAAAUUUCAAACAGUGGGUGGUGACCGGGAGUUGCUCAUGACCUCUUCGUGCAAAUUAUGCUUCCAAAAAAUUAAUCCAUGAGGCAGGGGCUCUCGACACAGUUCCUCCAAGAGUGAGUGGAAUCAUGUUCAGUUUGAAUGAAAAUUUGAUUUGAGGAGUAAUCAACCAUUGACUCUCCCUUUUGUGUUGCAUAUUCCUGAUCAUUGGUUCCAGAUCACUUUUUCUUUCGGUUUGCUCAGUUGUUCUUCUUCUACUUAAAAUGGAUAGUGGGCCGAGAAGUGACCGUGGAGCUCAAGAACGACUUUGCAAUUAGGGUAAGAUCGACCACCGCAGAGGGAAGCAGCAAAGGAGAAUAUAUUGGUUACUGGUCAGCAUAUAUAUAUAUAUAUAUUUCAAGAAGUAAAAGAAGAUAGUAAGUAUUGCUGGAAGCACCAAAGUUGCAGGUGAUGUUUUGUUUUAUUUGGCUUCUUUGUGAAGAGAUCAUGCAUGAUCUUCCAUGUUUUUUUUUUCAGCUAAAUUUGGUUUUGUGACUUUGAUCAUAGUGCCACGUUUUCAAUUGAAU